rnacentral:rRNA from 1 species
UACGAAGGGGGCUAGCGUUGUUCGGAAUUACUGGGCGUAAAGCGCACGUAGGCGGCUUUCUAAGUCGGGGGUGAAAUCCUGGAGCUCAACUCCAGAACUGCAUUCGAUACUGGAAAGCUCGAGUCCGGGAGAGGUGAGUGGAACUGCGAGUGUAGAGGUGAAAUUCGUAGAUAUUCGCAAGAACACCAGUGGCGAAGGCGGCUCACUGGCCCGGUACUGACGCUGAGGUGCGAAAGCGUGGGGAGCAAACAGG